GAAUUCAACUCCUACGGGAGGCAGCAGUGGGGAAUAUUGGACAAUGGGCGAAAGCCUGAUCCAGCCAUGCCGCGUGUGUGAAGAAGGUCUUCGGAUUGUAAAGCACUUUAAGUUGGGAGGAAGGGCAGUUACCUAAUACGUGAUUGUUUUGACGUUACCGACAGAAUAAGCACCGGCUAACUCUGUGCCAGCAGCCGCGGUAAUACAGAGGGUGCAAGCGUUAAUCGGAAUUACUGGGCGUAAAGCGCGCGUAGGUGGUUUGUUAAGUUGGAUGUGAAAUCCCCGGGCUCAACCUGGGAACUGCAUUCAAAACUGACUGACUAGAGUAUGGUAGAGGGUGGUGGAAUUUCCUGUGUAGCGGUGAAAUGCGUAGAUAUAGGAAGGAACACCAGUGGCGAAGGCGACCACCUGGACUGAUACUGACACUGAGGUGCGAAAGCGUGGGGAGCAAACAGGAUUAGAAACCCUAGUAGUCCAGGCGUU
rnacentral:rRNA from 1 species